AGUAAUGCUUGGGAAUCUGGCUUAUGGAGGGGGAUAACUACGGGAAACUGUAGCUAAUACCGCGUAGAAUCGGGAGAUGAAAGUGUGGGACCUUCGGGCCACAUGCCAUAGGAUGAGCCCAAGUGGGAUUAGGUAGUUGGUGAGGUAAAGGCUCACCAAGCCGACGAUCUCUAGCUGGUCUGAGAGGAUGACCAGCCACACUGGGACUGAGACACGGCCCAG
rnacentral:rRNA from 1 species